UGGGGAAUCUUGGACAAUGGGGGCAACCCUGAUCCAGCGAUGCCGCGUGAGUGAAGAAGGCCUUCGGGUCGUAAAGCUCUUUAGGUUGGGACGAAGGUUAUAGGGGGAUAAUCCUUAUAGCUUGACGGUACUAACAGAAUAAGCACCGGCAAACUCUGUGCCAGCAGCCGCGGUAAUACAGAGGGUGCGAGCGUUAAUCGGAGUUACUGGGCGUAAAGGGCGCGUAGGCGGUUUAUUGGGUGUGAUGUGAAAGCCUUGGGCUUAACCUGAGAAGUGCAUCGCAAACUAAUAGACUGGAGUAGAUGAGAGGGUGGCGGAAUUUCCGGUGUAGCGGUGAAAUGCGUAGAGAUCGGAAGGAACGUCAAUGGCGAAGGCAGCCACCUGGCAUCAUACUGACGCUGAGGCGCGAGAGCGUGGGGAGCGAACAG
rnacentral:rRNA from 1 species